rnacentral:lncRNA from 1 species
GUAUUUUAUUGAGUGCCUACUAUGUACCAGACACUGUUCUAGGCUCUGGAGAGAAAAAUAGUAAACAAAACAUACCAAAUCCCUGUCCUUAUAGAUCUUUACUAAGACAAUAAACAGUAAAAAAAAGAAAAUUAUAUUUAUGUUGGAUUAUAAUAAAUCAGAUGAACAAAAAAGAAGCAGGGACAAGGUACAGAAAAUGAUGGGUUCAGUGAGGUGAGUUAAAAUAUUAAAAGGUCUAACCAGGGAAGGCUUCACUGAGAAAGUGACAUUUGAGCAAAGACCUAAAUCUAAAGAUGGUCGGGGAGGUAACUUAUGUCUGUGGAGUGUUACAUGGAGAAUGAAUGAAGGGCACAAGGAGAGCAGUUAAGAGACUACUAAAAUAUUCUAGAGGAGAAAAGAGAAUGGCUUGGAUCUGUUGGUAGCAGUAGAAAUGAUAAAAAUGGAUCACAUUCUGAAUCUAUUUGAAAAAUAGUACCCAGAGGAGUUAGAUACUGGGAGUGAGAGAAAAAGGCAAGUUAAGGAUAAUUCCAAGGAUUUGGGCAUGAAGUUGCCUUUUUAAAAAUAGAUAAAGAACUCUUUUUGAGG